UACGGAGGGUGCAAGCGUUGUCCGGAAUCACUGGGCGUAAAGGGCGCGUAGGCGGCUCAUGAAAGCUGUGGUGAAAGUCCGGGGGCUCAACCUCGGAUCGGCCGUGGCGACUCGUGGGCUGGAGCACUGUAGAGGCGGGUGGAAUUCCGGGUGUAGCGGUGGAAUGCGUAGAGAUCCGGAAGAACACCAGUGGCGAAGGCGACUUACUGGACACAUAUUGACGCUGAGGUGCGAAAGCGUGGGGAGCAAACAGG
rnacentral:rRNA from 1 species